rnacentral:rRNA from 1 species
CUAGCCUAGACGCCAUUAUGAAACACAACUUUCAAUAUUUAAAGUUUGCAGAAACGUGUGCAUAUUUAUGUGCCACAAAUGAAGACUAGCUUCAGCGAUGGAUCGGUCGAUUCGCGUAUCGAUGAAAAACGCAGCUAGCUGCGUUAUUUACCACGAAUUGCAGACGCUUAGAGUGGUGAAAUUUUGAACGCAUAGCGCCGU